UACGGGAGGCAGCAGUAAGGAAUAUUGGUCAAUGGGCGCAAGCCUGAACCAGCCAUGCCGUGUGCAGGAAGACGGCCCUCCGGGUUGUAAACUGCUUUUAUACCGGAAUAAACCUCCCUACGUGUAGGGAGCUGAAUGUACGGUAGGAAUAAGGAUCGGCUAACUCCGUGCCAGCAGCCGCGGUAAUACGGAGGAUCCGAGCGUUAUCCGGAUUUAUUGGGUUUAAAGGGUGCGUAGGCGGCCUGUUAAGUCAGGGGUGAAAGACGGUGGCUCAACCAUCGCAGUGCCCCUUGAUACUGACGGGCUUGAAUUAACUAGAGGCAGGCGGAAUGUGACAAGUAGCGGUGAAAUGCAUAGAUAUGUCACAGAACACCGAUUGCGAAGGCAGCUUGCUAUGGUUAUAUUGACGCUGAGGCACGAAAGCGUGGGGAUCAAACAGGAUUAGAUACC
rnacentral:rRNA from 1 species